UCAUGUGAGCUCUUUAUAAAUGUGUCUUUAGGUUAACUAUUACAAUACAAGCAGACGCCGCCGCUUGAGUUCAUCGUCUUUGUGUCUCUAUUUGUCUGUGUUAUUUUUCAUUUGGCUUUCUAAUAUCUUUCUAUCACUCAUCUAUAUAUAAUACAAGUUCACACAUAUCUACCUGUACGGUUGAAGUGGUUAUGAUAUAUCUACGGUGAGGCAACAAACCCAGAUCGAUGGGAUAUCCUUCGAUGCUUGAUCAAAUUCAAAUCAAUGAUUUUGUUUUGGACUUCUACACAUUAUCGAUUAUGAUUUGUUGCUACAAACUUAGUUUUUGCAAUCUCCACCACAAAUCUCUGACGGGUGUGAUUUCUUUGAUUAAACAUGGAGAAAAGGAGCUUGAAACUUUCGAUAAGAAAUUCAUUCGCAGAGAUACAAAGACGUUGUGUGGGUUUGCAGUUGUUGAUGCGAAGCUUCAACUUAAUCAUUUGCAUAAUCUGUCAUGAGAUAUUUCUCACACAAGAAGAUCUCCCUAUGGUUUAUGAUGAUUAUAAAAAUCUUAAUUGAUGUCCCUUAACUUUUACAACACAAUUUCUUGAUUUUCAUUAGGUCUUUUGACAGGAAAAGACAUUGUAGCAUAUUACUAAAUAUUUAACAAAAUUUUCCUGGACACUCCAUGUCUGUGAAGCAGGAUUUUACAAAAAUUAUGGUUUAGGGGCCUCGAGUUCUUCGAUAUUAUGAGAUGUUGGACGAUUGCUUGGAUAUCUUGGAUUCUUAUGACUCUGAAUAUCAUGAUAGUGAUGUAGAUGAGUAUGAUUAUUAUGAUGAUGAAAGUGAUUAUGGCAUGGCAUAUGGUAUUUUGAAGGAGGGAUUGAAGAGCUUGAGUUUAGAGCUUUAUUAAGGAGGUAUUGAAGAUGUUUCAAUGUAUUGGCCUCCAUCUCCAAUAAAUUUGUUGUUUACUUGGUCUCUAUAAUUUCACUUAUUAAAAAAUUAUAAAGGUUAAUUGUUCAAAUUGACCUUGUAGAGAAAUCUAUAGAAAAUACAUAGGAUUGAUUUGCAAAGUAUAAUAGCAUUUGUAAUAUACCUUGAUUUAUUUUUAUUUUUCAAUCAAAGCAUGCAAAAUUGUUAUUUGU